rnacentral:tRNA from 1 species
GCCGCUGUAGCUCAGCUGGUAGAGCAGCUCACUCGUAAUGAGCAGGUCGUCCGUUCGAAUCGGAUCAGCGGCUCCA